rnacentral:lncRNA from 1 species
GUAAAAUUGUUUAUCAGGUCAAGAUCUAUCUGCCCUGAAAUUUUCAGAUGAAUCUGACAACCCGUUGUUGGGUUGCUCUCCCUGAAUUGGUAAUUUUAAGGAAAUUUUGCUGUUUUUGGUUAUUAUCUUGAAUAUUAUUAUAGAUAGAGAUAAACUGUAAACAUCAAUAAUGUUAAGCAAAGUAAGAUUUACAAAUAAGUCAAUAUGACGGAAAUAGUCAAUUGACCCCUAAGGAGUUAUUGUCCUUUAUAGUCAAUUUUUAACAAUUUUCAUAAAAUUUGUAAAUUUUAACUAACAUUUUCCACUG